CGUGCGUCGAGUGGCUUUGCUCACCGUUUUCCUUUUAGGCUACCCACGUGUCGAUCAUCGUCGAAGGCUCGGCUUCCAAUUCUUCUCGACAUUUCCUUCCGUUUCCACUUCUCUCUCUCACUCCGCAGUCUUCUCUCCUCUCAUCUAUCACUCUUCCUCUGACUCUCCUUCCCUACUGAAAGAACCAUGAUCUUUCAUGUUCCCCUCUUCUAUUCAUUCGGGUCCCGUAUGUAAAAGGGUUUUGGCUUUGGUAGCAGAUGAAGAUCGGUGACAAUGAUCGGAGUUCGUCGCCGUGUGGGUGAUCCCAGUGGCACUGGUUUUCAAUUCUGGUGAUUUCUAUGGUUUUGUGUUGCGUAAUAUUUGGGGAUUUGGUUUGGGUCUGUGGGUAAACAAUACUCAGGUUCCAACCCCCAGUAACGCAACAUGCUCGAUUCCAAUUCUUAAUUAAGGGGGAUGAUGCAAAACCCAGAAUUUCUUCGUAAGUUGACUUCUGCUUAGACUAUACAGAUACUCUUUACUUUGCAGCAAUCACUUCUGUCGCAACUGGUUGACAACAGUAACAGUCAACCCAAUCACAGACAAGCAAACAUUAUCAAAUCUAUGUGUAUGAGUUGCAAAGAUACAUGUGGAAAAUAAUAGGUGACCUCUUUAUUCUAUAUAUUUCUAACGUUUAUUUUUUAUUUUUCCAAAAUCCAUGCUGAGCAAUUUAUGUUUCUCUUUCUUUAACAUUUUUUUUGCUUCGGUUUUGCUCACUUAAUAAUUUGAUUUACACCUACUUUUUAGAAUUAGAAUAGAAUAUGGUUAUAAUUAUCUGCAAUUGUUGGGUAGUUGGCAAAACUCAAGACCUUUUUAUGCCUGUUUGAAGGAACAAACAGAGGUUGUAAACCCCUGCCUUGCUCAUACAUGUUUUACUCUUUCAUUGGCAUUUAAUUUAUUUUCCUGUUUUGGUUUAGGCUUUUAGUUUGGUUUGAUUUGUUGUUAACUUUGUUAAUCUGGUAAGAAUUACAUUUUUCUAAUGGCUUGGAUUUAGGAUUUCAUUAUAAUUUCUUCUUUUUCAACAUAAUGGUUAAUCUGGAUAGGGAGGUAGUUUGCAUUCAGGUGAGGUGGGGCAGACUUUUUUGAGAAAGAACCUCUUGGUGGUGUCCCCUGGAGGACAAAAUAGUACUAUUUAGUGACCAGGAGCUGAGAGCCCAAUUUCAUUACAAUUUCUUCUUUUUCAACGUAAUGGUUAUCAAAUUAAUUGUUUUUCCUUUAAGGGUACUAACAGCAGGCUAGACUCAUACCUUUCCAUUUUUUUUUCUUCCAAAUUCCUUUUCUACAUUGAAUCUUAUUUUCAAAUUUGUUUUAUAUUUUUUCUUGAAAUUCACAAGUGCAGUGUUUUCUAUUUGUUAAAGGCAUAAUAGUAUAUCCAUUCAGUUUAAUUUCAUUUUAACUCGGUGGUGGUUUACACAGUUUUCAGCAUUUUCCACAUAGGUUCUGAUUUUAAUUGUUUGCUAAAACCUAUAGAUUGUUAAAACUAAUGACAAGCUAUUACUAUAUAUUGUUCAUAUCAAGGAUGGAGACAUUUUUGGAUUACCCUAAAAUAUAGCUAGGAAACAUCUAUUCUUUUUCAUUACGGCAGACAUUGAUGCCCUACAGUGUUGACUUUCUUUAAUGCUUCCUCUGGAUUCUACAAUUUCUUUUUAAAGUUUAUUUGGUUGCUGGGAAAAAAACUCAGAAAUGAAGGGCUUUAGAGUUUGAUCAUUUGUGCCUCAAAUUUGGUACUGUUUCUUUCCCCUAUAUAAUUUUGAUUGGUAAUAUAGAUUUUCAUCAUAAAUUAUUGUAUUCUUUUGCAAAGUUGUUCAUGUUUUACACCUCUUUUAACUUUAACACCAUUUCACCUGAGAACUCAACUUCAAUUAGAGAAAGAGGAAGAGGAGCAUAGAAGUAUGUCCACUACUCCUUUGUUUCAUUGAGCUUAGAGAAAGAGGUAGCAGCCAUCGAAGUAAUUCGAGUUCAAAUAUGAGUUCAUAUCUGAGUUCAAAUCCUAUUUUUGAGCCCUUUGUUUCAUCGGUAGGUAAAGCUCAAAUAUUUCGAACAUGUUUAAUUUUGAAUUAGUCUCUACAUCUACACGCGUACAAUGAACAAAUAUUCACUGGUCCUUUACAAUGACGAUUCAAUGGUUAUGAAUUAGUGUAAUUCAUGGAUAUAAUGCAUAUAUGGACGACGACAACAACAACAACAAAGGAUAUAUUGACAAAGGGAUAUAUUGAAAUAUGCAGGAAAUUGUUUCUCUAUAACACAUUGUGAGUCGAGGAAUCUCUUUCAUUUGAGCUGGCCAUGUCGAAGUGUAUUUUUACUAACUUGGUACGCUAUAUCACAUUCAGAGAACUCUUUUACAUGUCCUUUUGUAUUGUGUUUGGUAAAUAUAUAAUAUUUGUUGGAGUAUUUUGUAUCUAGUUGAGUCAUAUGAAAUUCAAGAUUCCAGUUGUUAUAUCAUUUGACGCUUACCAUCAUCUAAUCUUUGGCAUAUAUAAUCUGUUUGGUUGCUUAACAAAAUCUGUUCGAAUAAUCUCCAUUAAAUGACUUCUGUGUUUGUGACCUUUUACUCAAACUUUAUAUAUUUUCUCCUCUCUAAUUUGUGUUUUUUGCUUUGUCAGAAGAUUAUUUUUGUAUAAAAUAUAAAUGUUAGAAACAUUCUACCCGUUGUUUAGUUUCUUUGACUAAUUUUGUAGUGUUAGUUCUGCACCAUUUCAAUUUGUCUUUGAUUGGAUAAAUAAUAGCAUUGUUUAUGCUAAUUUGCCAAUUUCUUCAUAUUUUUAAGUUAUCUCGAAGCCAGAUUCUGGGCCCUUUAUUCAGUGUUUUGAAGACAUUACAAUUUCUAAACCCCCGCAGCAUCGCGCGGGCAACCUUUCUAGUAUCAACGAUUCUUAAAUUCGUUUUUAUAAGUAACUUAUUAUUAUUAGAUGGGUUUAAAUUUUAAAAUUUGUAUAUAUAUAUUUUUAAUAAGCGAUAUUAUUUAGGCUAAAGAGAGUGAGCAAUAGUAUGGUUCACAUUCGUUUUUAGCGAGAAUCAAAUCUAAAAAACUUCUAUUUCAAAAUACAUUUAAUAAUGUUAAAUAGGAUGGUGAUUAUCAUCGUCAAUUGUAGUUGGUCAGCAAAAUAAUUACCGGAAAGUUAAACCUC